CAGCAGCCACGGGAAUACAGAGGGUGCGAGCGUUAAUCGGAUUUACUGUGCGUAAAGCGUGCGUAGGCGGCUUUUUAAGUCGGAUGUGAAAUCCCUGAGCUUAACUUAGGAAUUGCAUUCGAUACUGGGAAGCUAGAGUAUGGGAGAGGAUGGUAGAAUUCCAGGUGUAGCGGUGAAAUGCGUAGAGAUCUGGAGGAAUACCGAUGGCGAAGGCAGCCAUCUGGCCUAAUACUGACGCUGAGGUACGAAAGCAUGGGGAGCAAACAGGAUUAGAUACCCGUGUAGUCCCUGUCUCUUAUAC
rnacentral:rRNA from 1 species